GAGAGCCGGAUGCUCGGCCAACGGGUACGUCCGGUUCGGAGGGCGGCCUGAGGAAACGGGCUGGUCGAAAGGCCAGUACCGUGCUUCGGGCCGACCCUAC
rnacentral:ncRNA from 1 species